CAAGUGAGCCCAAGGCCAUUUUCUUUACGUCCCGAUUUUUCCGUCCGUGACGCGACAGCGUGGCGGCGCGGCGCGGCGCACGGGACCCCAUGGCGGCGGCGCGGCUCCGUUGGCCGGAGGAGCGUGCAGCGGACUCGCACCGUGCGCUGCUCCGUCGAACGGCGCCGACCACGUUGCACGCGCAUGGGCUUGAGGUGCGGAGCGGUCGGGAGAUGGCGGUGGCGCGGCGCCGUACUUGAGGAAGCUGACGACGACGUGAAUGGCAAGGCCGCCCUUCGCGUCUCUGUCUGUAAAGGUUGCGGGUUGUGCGGAAACCAUCGACGCGACGAGCGUAGACAGGUGUAUCCGUCAUUUGCCGCCGGAUUCCUUCCGCCUCAGCCAGGACCUUGUGUGCCCUUCUCUGAUGUUGUGAAAUGUUAACUCAUGCAUGCCGACAGCCGCCACCAUGCUCCAGCUGCCUCAGGCUUCAGGGUGAUGAAUUAGUCAAGCUAUUAAAUGGCAGCGACGUUCCUCACACACGCUUCCAAUGCAGAAUUGCUGGCAGGGCCAUCAUCACCUAUGUCAUGAACUGCUACUACAAGCCCUCAAGAGGAGGAGGUGAAGAUGGAGCGCAAUGGUGGCGGUCUUGGCCUUGCUCUCGCUAUUAUGGCUGCCAUCUGGCUUCUCUGCCGCAUCGUUGUUUUUGCCAGCAGCGGCGGCUCUUUGCUGUCGAUUGAUCGCAUGCGGCAUUCAAGGAGAUGCCUGGUGGCAGUUGUUGCCGAUGCAGCUAUGCGCCAUUGUCCUUUCAUUGCUCCAUGUUGAUGGGCCCUCAGAGGUGGCCAAUUGUGGGUGACAGGUGGCCAUAAGCACAAUAGAAGGCACCACGCAGAGCUAGAAGAGGAUGCUGGCCGGCAGACCACCUCUCUUGCCGUCAAGGGCACCAUUCAGCCGCCUUUUUUUUUUUUUUGCUUCAGAGGCUUCUUGUGCUGCUACAGGUUUCUGUUUCUUAUCCACUCUCCCAUUGCAGUUAACUGGAUGCUUUAAAGGAUUUGAAUGGAGUUCAUUCUAGGUGGGUGUGCAAAUCAGCAGCCUGCUGCCAUGUCUUUUCUUGCCGGAACCCCCCGCUGCUGGAUGCUCCCCUCCCGUCCUGGCACGGCAAGGCACAUCUGCCUCUUGUGUGAAGAGAGUCGCUGGGAGAAGACAACAAGGAUGACUCUGUCCAUAUUCCAGGUCGCUCUUCCUGCCGUGCCCUGCCUCAGUUCACGUUUGCAUCCUGAGGCGAUUUCUGAGCUAUCGGGUUCUUGAUUUCGUGCACAGGUGGGGAUUGCGUUGCCCUGUGGAACGGGUUCCCGUACCUCCUCUGUGCCGAGGCUGGUUGCUACCCCUGCUCGUGGCCGGCGGCUGCAAGGUGAGUUGAUUUGUUGGUUUGUUCAUGGCCUGGUUCUACCUGGCUCCUAUUGUUCUUCCCUUGUCUACUAUUUCGAUUGGUAGAGAGUUGUCUCGAGCAUAAAACCAGGAUAAUCAUUGAGAGACAUACCAUGGAGUGUUGAUGGUGUAAAUCUGGACAGUUGUGUCGUCUGAAACAAGAAUUUGGCCACAAAUCGUGUUGCUGCGAAUCUCAUCUUUCCUUUGUGAAGUCUGGUCAUUCUUCCUCAAAUUGGAUUGUUCGCAAUGUUCUGCAGCUAGGACUAGCUCGUGCAGGCUGACCCUUUGAUUCUAGUAGGUGUUCAAAUAGUGUCAUAUCUCAUAUGUCAAUGGCUUCUAGGUGCAGACCCUCAGUAUUAGGUGCUGUAUGUAGGAAUUGUACAUCGAUGGAAGUAUAUGAUGGUGCAACUCGCAUUUAGCCCAUAAGCAGACCUUUAGAGUGUGAUGUUUUAUCUUAUAGGCAUUUAUCAAAGCUAGCCCUGCUGCUUGGGUAAAUUCCGAGUGUUACGUGAAGUACACUGGGGCUAGACACUGUUGAUUUUUGCCUUACCCUGGUUUGCCGGUCUCUGUUUGCUUAUCUGGUACAGUGUCACCGAAAUAUCCGACCCGAAGCCAACCUCUCCUUCUAGAUGGCCCCAGUAUCCACCGCUAAUCUCUCAUCUCACCUUUUCUCAGAGAGAGAGAGAGAGAGGGAGAGAGACGCCUCCACUGGUCGGAAGGCCGUUCGAUGUCCGAGAGAAAGGGCGGAAGGCCGUUCCCCGGCCAACACAGAUCCAUCCCUCGCCGCUCUACAGCCGCCGUUUAAUGCCCUCCCUAUACCUUCCCGGUGGUGCCCAGCUGCUCCCCCCCUCCUCUUUCACCAUCCUGGGCAAAAGGAGGCCCAGGCGCAGCAGUUGUGGCCGUGGUCUGGUCAAGAUGGCGCCAUGGUCCAUGCUAUGGACGAGGAGCUAUGGGACGAGGCCGUCUCCCCUUCUCCUCUUUUGCGUGAUUUGGGUCAGAAGCCUUUAAUCUUCUCCGAUUUGGUCGCUCCAAUGGUCCAGCCUCUGCUUUGGUCGAUCGUUUAGCUCAUGACCCUGUGCUUUAUUUUGUCUGUCCUCAAAUUAUGAUUUUGUAUCAUAUAUGUGUCCUGCUUCCUUCAAAAUUGUGGAUUCCGAAAUUUAUGAUUUAUUUUCCGAAUUUGAUAUUGUCGAUGCUUAUCGUCAUCAUCCAGUUGGAUUAGGAACCGCGAUGAUGUCCAGUGCAGUUUCCGAUUCAUAAUUUUAUGAUCUCUGUAUAUUCAUGCGGUCAUGCCUAAAUCUGUAUAUUGUGCCAUUGAACGUUUCACAUUAUUUCUAUACCAUGGGACAGUAGGAAACUAAGUGCACAAGUGGGAAGAUUACUGCUCAGUAUUGUAGCCUUUAUGUAUGUUUUAGUCAUACUUUCCCAACAAUGAAGUGAAUGCUGAUAAUUCUGAAGUAUAUUAACUUCAAUCUAAGGCUGGUUCCAGCAUUAGGAUAAAGAAAUGCUCUGCAACAGAUUGGUAAUUGUGAAUAUACACUCGCUGGAAGAUACCUUGAGAAUUCAUCAUGUGUAGUGCUUUACUUUGUUGAGUCCACUUUUAGUUUAGCACUAAUUAACUAACUCUUUGGUGCUCAGUUACCUCCGUGUAAAUAGAUAUGGCUUCAUCCUGUUAGCUGCUUUCCUGGGCGAAUUGCUCCUUGUAUUAGUUACAUCAUGUAACCUAUACAUCAUAGUUCAUUCUUGAUUUUAGUUCAGUUUCUGGUUUCGUAUUAUGAUGGUUUGACCUGCAUCAUGCCUUUAUGAAAUAUGUACAUGAGAAUAUGGAUGUCAUCUAAUAAAUUAAAUUAGAUUUUUAUAUGGAGUAAUAUUGGUACACUAAGCGUUAUUGCUUGAUAAAGAACUGUUGCAUGUGGCGGAAGCUACAGCAAUGCCACCAUACUGUACAUGGCUCAAAUCUUGAAAUUCUUGGCUGCGUGCCACACCUGGUCUUUAAAAAUCAUGUCUUAAGGUUGAGCAAUUUCAGUUUGAGAAACCUACUUGGUGUUCUUGCAUUUCCUGAUAUAUUUGACAAACUUCUGUUGUGGCGAGUUUACGAUGGGUUUCAAUUUGGUGUAGUGAUCAAUCACUGAUGUCAUAUAUUUAUAACAGAGGGGGGAAAUGAAUACUUAUCAAAAAGUUCCUUUUGCAUAAAGCAGUUUUUGGGAGAUUUGGGAGUACAAAUGCCUAAUUCUAAUCUAUAGAGCCAACGAGACCCGUAAACAUUCUCAAACUAAUGUUUCAUAUUAAAAGACAAAUUGAUCGUGAUUUCAGUCGAGUGUACAUGUUGCACGAGAAUGACAUACUAAAAUGUUGAGCAAACCGAGGCUGGUGGUUUCUAUGCAAAACGAAGCUCUCGCCCUGAAUCAUUCUUUACUUCUAUUUUCCUGUAGCAAUUUUUGUACAUGUAUGUAGUUCCAAGGUGCAGAUAGUUAGCAUUUGGCUUUCUCUACUAUCGUUUGUCUUUUUAUAUCUUACCCCAUUUUACAUCAGUAAUUAUAGGAGAAGUUUAUCAUUAAGAAUCACACUAAUUAAUUGGGUUUACUUUAGGCACGAUCACACAAGAAAUCUAUGUUGAUUACAGGAAAGGCAUGCUCAUUUGUUCUCAGUACUGUUUUGAUUUUUCUACAAACAAUUGGCUUUGUACAGGUAAUUGAUAUAACCUACACAAUUGGGUUGUAUAAGAAUCAGGUUGCUACACUAUACUCCAGUGCCUUUCUGUUCAAUUUUCUGUUUGAUUACUGCAUCUUUCAUCUUUUCUAAUAUUAGGCGAUUAUGCUGGGUCAUUUGUGGCAUGCUCUUCUCUCUUUGCAUAGUGGAAAUACUUUUUGAUUACCAUUAGAAUAGGAGAUCACGCAAAGAUGUAUGCCAAGUUCUUAUUAUCAUCUAGCUAUUGGUUCCUAUCGAUAUUCAUGUCAAAUCUUGACAAGAUAUUUAUUGUUGUGAUUCAAGUAAGUAGGGGUGCAAAUUUAAAGCCAUCAUCUGGCCCUCCUUAGUUCAAAUAAAUGAACUAAAAUUUCAAGUUAAAUCAUGCAUUAUUUAAAUAGUUUCUACUUUGAGCUCUUCAAAUUUUAUGGAGAUACUCUCUCAAAUUUUGUUGUGUCCAGCAAGAAUGAAAAAAAAAUGUUCUUAACUGCAUUUUCUUCCUGCCUUUGAUUUCAGACAAUGUGCAUAUAUAUCUUAGGAUUCUCGAACCAGUGACAAUGUGGAAGGCACAUCCUUCGGUGCUUAGAUAUGCAACUUUUGAGUCUCUGCAGUGAAGAUUUCGCAGAACACGCAUUAGGGAUUAUCGACAUACAGAAAAUUGUCACAUCAUUACUAACUGCGGCAAAGAUUAGCAGCGAGUGCGAGGACGUCGUCCGAUGCUCGGGAAACGCUGCGGGAGUUCGCCUGUUCGGAGUUGUAGAGUGCAACCACGACCUCUUCCCUGCCAGCACCCGAUCUAGCGUCGUUCGUCCCACGACGGCGAGAUCCAGUUCCCCUGUGGCCUCUUCCUUCGGCCUUGGUUGACAAAAAGCAGUAAGAAAUCCUCACAUUUCCAAAUUUCUUUGCUACAAUUCAAUUACCUCUUCUCACCGUGCAAAUUUAAGAAACUCAACAACACAUUCUGAAGUGUUGUUUGUUGAUCAACUGGUUUAAUCAGUGCUGGCUUUGCGAGACUGUUGUCGUGUGAAAUUUUCAGAAGGAAAAAAUGCCUGUAGAUAUUGCUCUUCAAUCAUAUGACAAUAAACAUCAAUCUUCUCUUUUCUAUGCUGAAUGGUCAUUGCUGCUUGAUUUAGUGCGUUGCUGUGCAGUAAAUAUCAAGGCUUAAUUAGUAUAAGACUAAUAACAAUGGAAGAUCUAGAAGUUUCUAUCUCUGAACUUGCAGAGUUCUCCGAGCUUAGGAUAGCAAGACAUUGUCGAGGUUCACAAAGAGUAAAAGGCGACCUUACAUGAGCAUAACAAUAGCAGUACAAAUGCCAAAAGAAUUUGGCACACAAGUACAUAGUUACCACAACAAUAUUAGUACAUCAUAAAUGAUUGCUACGUCAUAAAACUCAGCGUCUAAGUUCCCCUCUCAGAACACACACAGUUAUAUUAUCCAGCAUAUCACUUCAGGAUGAACACACACAGGUUUGCUCAGUGUUAUCCAUCGGUUAGGGGCAUGCAUCCUUCUAUUCUGUAUCUUGAUAUACAGAAAGAAAUACUAUGUAUUGUUUACUCUUACUGAAUUGAUAAUGAGGUCUUAGCUGUAAUGUUAAUAUCCGUGAAAUCAAUAUCUAAGGUUGCUAUUCUUAAGAUUUAGUCGUUUCGUACUCCUAAUUUUGCACUGGGAUUUAAUGAACAUGAAUGCAGAAAAGGUUAACAUGCCUUGAACAUCUUUAUUUACUGAACAGAAAUAGACAAUUCAGUGUGAAAAUUUGGAUUUUGGAACACGCCUAUGCUUGAUAGGAUUUGUGUAUCUCACCCUUCCAAUGAAAUGAACUGUAUGGCAUCUAAAUUUCGACCCUCCGCCGCUAGAUCAUUUGCUGUGAAGAACUCUCCAGUAAGCGAUUGAAGUGUACACUGGAUAUUGGACUUCCAAUUGCGUGAUCCAUAUUGGUUGACUGAACACAUAAUUACCUUUUUUAUGUCCUGCAAAUAUGUGGUGUUUUGCAGAUUUAUGUUAACACAAGCUCACACCAUAUAUUUUCUAUGUACCUCUGUAUCCCAAUGGAAAAUGCAUUCUACAGAGCACUGUAACUUGGCAGUGCUUAUCUUUUCCUGAUUGACACAUGCAUUUCUUGAGAUGGACCAAAGCAGAACCUUGAUUCCGUAUAGUUUGCUUGCAUUCAGCUAACUUAAUAGCAGCGAACUAUCAAAUGAUUUCUGAACAAUAGUUAUUUGAUAUAAUUUUUGUUUUCUAUCACCAAUAAUGGUUGCUCCUCCGAUGCAUGUAGGCUAUAUCAUCAUUCAAGGAGAUUGUGGCAAAAUGAAGUGCGAUGCUAGAAACUUUCUCGUGAUGCAAAAAACUCUGAAUCGUGGCAUUGUGUAGUGAAAAUAUGAAGAGGCUGGUACCAUUAUUAGUUUUUUACUGACCAGAAAAUUGUACUACCUCCGUAAACUAAUAUAAGAGCGUUUAGAAUACUAAAGUAGUAAUCUAAACACUCUUAUAUUAGUUUACAGAGGGAGUACUAUGUAUCUUCUAGGAUUGUUCUUGAUGCAUAUUUUGCUCAAGUUAAGUCUUUAUACCAUAUGAAUGGUUCUGCACACUCUCGCUGCCAUAUCACUAAAAUUAUUUUUCCGUGUAAAUCAUUGGUCACACUUUUCUCAUAAUUCUACUCAGGUCAAAAUGUCGUAGAAAUUGUGUUUUCUGGUGUUUACGAGCAAGGAUGUCAGCAUUGUGGGUUGGGGCAUGGUUGGGCUUUGUCUUGGCGGAGUGGCUAUAUACUUUAGAGUUGUGUUGAGGGAUUUUUUUGCAUUAGCAAUUAAUAACUCAAGUAUAUUUUUAAAGAUGUUUCUUGCUUGGUGCUCUUCUUUGGUUUCUGAUCAGUUUGUGCCUGUUGUGUAGUGUGUAGGCUAUGUUCUAUUGGUUUGGACUGCCUUGAAUUGUUUGUUAUCGGAUAGAAAAUGCAACUCAGUACUCCAUUAUGUGUCACAACAGGUUUGGUAUAGACGUUUCAGGCUGACUCCUUACUUUUGCUUGCUCGAAGUUUAAGGUGCAUGCCACUUAAUUUUCUUCACGGGAGGAGGGUUGGCCAGAAGUAGGUGAGGUACAAAAGUAGGCUCCAUCCCUGUUACAUCUGUUCAGACUACUGAAUUUGGUUCCCUUACUCAUUUCAGUUUCACUUGGUGUAUGUGAAGCAAUGCAAUUUACUUCCAUUGCUGCCAUCUUGCUUUUCGUGAGUUAAUUCUGUACAAUUAGUCAACAUUGUAGACGGUGGCCUGAUAGAGCGUUUUCUGUAAUGCAUGGUUAAAUAGCUUUUAGGUUGAUUUGAUAAGACAACUUUUUCUAAUGUCAGGCUUAGUUUACUUUUUGUAAGAGUAGGUUUGAACCAUGUAAAUAUGCUUUAACAACUGAAAUUUUGACACAUGACAUGUUUUUAUUUGUUAUAUUUUAAGCUUGAAACUCAAAUCUCAGCUAUUCCCUAAAUAUUUAAAUACUGAACCUUUUGUUUUCUACACUGCCAUGGUCUCCGUGGUAUUAUUUUGAUAGCCUCACAACCACUAAUUGCUAUUAUAUGAAAUGAUAAAUUAAUGUGGGCAGUCAUGACUAUUUUAUACAUCGAUGGUCUAAACUAGAAAUGUUUGACUGCGCGUUACACAUCAAGGAGGGGGUAUUCAUGUGUGUGGUCUGCAGUGGUAUAUCAGUUAAAGAUGUGCUAAUUUUGUUGUUAAUGCUUUGACAUGCUAUGAAAGUUUUCUGUAUGGCAAAGGACGUGUUCCUUACUUUCUCCUGUGUAUUUAUUUCAGAAGUUCUUCGAGCAUUUGUUUUUAACUUGUAGCUUAUAUUGACAGCCAUGGUUGUGUGCCUUGGUAGAUUGAAGUAGUGGCAUGUAACUGAUUUCACAUUCUUCUAUGAAUAAUACCCGGACUGCUCUGUGCUAGAUACAUCCGCUUGAGUGACAAUUAGUUCCGGACGGAGGGAGUAUGUUUUUUGAAGACUGCUCUGUCUUUUUUCCUUCUAGUUACUGGCCAUAAGCCCUUAGCUAAUGCCAACUCUGCUGUAACAUGCCUAUUGACCACCAGAAACCACUUUGUUUUCUGUGUAUGCUGGCCAUUUCAGUGUACUUGUUUGAUAUGCUGCCAACAACUUUUCCCUUUCUUCUUUCUUACUCCCUCGGUCCCAUAAUGUAGUGCACAUUGGUUUUCCUGAAAGUCAAGCUUCAAAAACAUUGACCAAAUUAUUGAGAAAAAUCUAAUAUGUUUCAUGAAAAUAUAUAUCAAAUAUAUACACAUGAAAAUAUAUUUCAUGAUGAAUCAAUUGCUUUUGAUUUCGUAUUUUGGAUGUUGAUAAUUUGUUUCUGUAUAUUUGGUCAAAGUUUACAAGGUUUGACUUAAAAAAAAUCUAAUAUGUACUAUAUUUUGGGACAGAGGGAGUGCUAUUUAGUUAUUUCCUCGAGCAAAUCGAUGCUUAUUUAUGCUAAUGCAUAUGUUGUUUUAGUUCUAGUUGUGUGCAUGGCAUAUUGUUUUUCUAGAAGAUGCAGUUCUGAAUUUUCUCAUGGGUCUAUGAAUCUAUUAUUGCAUGAACUGGUGAUAUGCGGUCAAGUUGACUGACACCAUUUGGCAUUUCUAGUGCUUGAGUUGACAAAUUCGAUGUAAUCAAAUAGUGUCCCUAGAACUUAAAAAGUCAUCUAUUUAUCUAGUGUAAGUGUUGUCCUUUCCUUUUUAUGUGCCGGAAUUCUUCUACAUUCUGAGCAUCAACACACUUUUAGAUAGUACACUGGCACUGCUGCACUGGUGAUUCUAUCUUCUUUAAUACUCCCUCUCUUCACUUUUAUAAGACGUUUUAGACAGUUUGGACAGCACCCAAAACAGUCCAAUGCCAGCUCUGAAACGUCUUAUAAAAAAGAACGGAGGGAGUAUGUGAUUUAUGCUUCUGAAAGUGUCCACUAGGUUUUAUUGCUUGAUGAAUUAAGUGUUGUUUUUUGAGGAAUUGACUGUUGUAUUUGCUUAUAGGUGCAAUAUUUUGUAUCAAAUUUACCUUUAACAAUCUGUUACUAACCUUGGUUUUCCUUUGUCUCUGUCCCUUUUUUCGUCCCCUCCAAUGAUGGUGCCUGGACUAUGACCUCUGCCUUUUCAUGUUUGAUUUUCCUCUGCUGCUGCUAGGUAUUGUUUUGGCUUUUGUUUAUACAGGGUGCAUACUCACAUAAUGCUCCUUGCUCUGAAACAUUUAGUUUGACGGCCAUAUUCUGUUUGUACAUGCAAUUAUUUCUAAUAUGUAAGCAUAUUUGUAGGAUCAUACAGUGGCAGACUACGCACUCUCUAUAGUUAGUAUAUUUACUUACAGUCUUGGAUACACUAAAUGAGAACAAAGUUUGGAUGUGUCAUUGUCUGCACUCAUAUAGUUUCCUGAUGAAUAUGACGGAGCUACAUCUCUUUGACUGAAGAAAAUGAGGACCAAGCUCUCAAGACAGUUUUGUGUCUUCCACAGCAGGGCAAUUGCCUGAAAGAACCAUAACGUCAGUCCAUGCAUUCAGUUGUCUGUGCAGCAGCCUGCCAGCUGUCAUUUGAUUUGUAAUAACAUUAAUGUGCUCAUGUAGGUUACACAUGUACUAAGAACUGGUUGACUAUGUAUGACCAUCAGGUGAACUAAUAUUUCCUAUUAUUUGUUCA